rnacentral:rRNA from 1 species
CCCUUAGAUGUUCUGGGCCGCACGCGCGCUACACUGAUGCAUUCAACGAGCCUAUCCUUGACCGACAGGUCCGGGUAAUCUUUGAAUCUGCAUCGUGACGGGGAUAGAUUGUUGCAAUUAUUAAUCUUCAACGAGGAAUGCCUAGUAGGCGCAAGUCAUCAGCUUGCGUCGAUUACGUCCCUGCCCUUUGUACACACCGCCCGUCGCUACUACCGAUUGAAUGGUUUAGUGAGGACUCCUGAUUGGCGCCGCCGCCCCGGCAACGGAGCAGCGGACUGCCGAAAAGUUGUUCAAACUUGAUCAUUUAGAGGAAGUAAAAGUCGUAACA